UAAAAAACAAAAUAAAUUUUCACACAAAUAAAUUAUAUAUUAAAGAGAAAUAAAAUUAAGAUCAUAUUAAAUUUUUAUUAUUACUCAAUUUAGUUCACACGACAAUUAGUUUUAACACAAAAAAGUAAUUUUUUGGAUCGAUUAAUAAACAUAAUUUGUGACAGUGACAUUGAAUAUUGUAGAAUAAUGAAUGAAACUACACGACAAAAUCAUUCUCGAGCAAUUCAACAUACAAUUGACUUGUACAUUAAUAAUUUACAAGAGUCCUUGAGAAAUGGAAGGAUGACAUUGUCAGAAUAUUUGUAGGCAGUAGUUGAACGCACAAAUAUUCGACGGGAGCUGAGACAACGUGGCUCAUAAUUUGGAAGUGUAGAAAACCAAAGUUAAAGAGAUACCAGCAAAUGUAAACUUUCUUAAAUAUAAAUAAAAGUUAUACUUAUAACUUC